AGGACGAACGCUGGCGGCGUGCCUAACACAUGCAAGUCGAACGGGGCCCGCAAGGGUUCAGUGGCGAACGGGUGCGUAACACGUGAAGAACUUGUCCAUCGGCGGGGGAUAGCCGGCCCAACGGCCGGGUAAUACCGCGUACGUUCUUCGAGGGGCAUCCCUUGAAGAGGAAAGCAGCAAUGCACCGAUGGAGAGCUUCGCGGCCUAUCAGCUUGUUGGUGGGGUAAUGGCCUACCAAGGCGACGACGGGUA
rnacentral:rRNA from 1 species